rnacentral:lncRNA from 1 species
AGCAUGCGCAGUGGCCUCGCUGGGGGAUCCCGUAGAGGUUUGGCGUGUGGCCUGCGGGUUCCCCGGGCGGGUCGACGUGCGCUCCUCUCUGGUCUCGAGUCACCAGGACCAGAUCGAGGAUGCGGCCGACCCCCUGCCCGAUGUGGAAAGCGAAGUCUCCACCUCGUGAUUGGGUCUCUGCUGUCAGAGAGCUUCACGAGCUUGAGGGGAAACAGACAGAGAGGUCUGGGCAUUGGGCAGUUUCCCGCCUCCCAGCCCCGCGCACUGAACAGACUGUGACCAGAACUGCGAACAAAGCGCGGAGGGAAGCUCUUAAAGGAGGCCAAAGCGGCCGGGCGCUGUGGCUCACACCUGUAACCCCAGCCUGUAAGCCUAGCUACUCGGGAGGCCGAGGCAGAAGGAGCGCUUGAAGCCAGGAGUUGGAAGCUGCAGUAAUCCGUGAUCGGACCGUUGCACUCUAGCCUGGGCAACAUAACGUCCUUUGAAAAAAAAAAAAAAAACAGAGGCCAAAACGGGUAGCAGUGGUGCCCGGGCACCAAGGAUGGAAGGCCUCUCUGAGGAGGUGAUGCCGAGCUGAAGCUGGGAAGCGGAUGUGAGGGAAGAGUUCCAGGCAGAGGGAAGGCAAAUGCAGAGAUCCUCAGGCAGGAACACUGAACUGUUCUCCGUAUUUGAGGAGCAGAGGGCGUGUCAGUGGUGGCCGCAGCAGCUGAGCAAAGGUCUUAGAAUCCCAGCUAAUGUCGUGGGACCUAGCACCCAAUCCCAAAAGAAAGAAGAAUAGAUAGGAACCCACUGUUGACAAGAAGGUGCACUGAGAAGUGUUUUUAUCUGACCCGAUCUGCAUCCAGUUUAGAAGCCGAUACAUCAGGGAUUUAACAAUCUGUCUUAAUGUCUAGCAAGGGGGGUUGCUGGAGGGAAAACACAGAGUCAGAGUUCUAUCUUCAGCCCUGCCAGCAGGUCCCUGGGAGAUGCUAGACGAGUGACUUUUCUCUGGGCGUGGUUGGUGUAAGGGAUGCACACGCAGGAGGAAGGUCGGAGUGUAAAUGUGUGACCUGGGCCUGUUACUGGGUAUAAAUGGGCCUGUAGUGACCGGGAGCUCAUGUUCUACCAAAGGGGUUGCCAAUUUUCUGAUUUCGAGUGUGGCGGUGUAAAAGAGAAAAGCAACUGCUGCCAGCUGGGAGCUGGUUUGCACCCUCACUCCAGAAGCCUUGAUGUUGCUAGGAGCUGACCUGGCACCAACAGCACGGCCAUGGUGGUGUCCUGUUGAGCAAAAUAAUUUCACAAAAAACAUCAGACAAGGUCACUCUCUGACUGAUCUAGAAAAAGACCAUUCCAUAAUAAAGCCUCAAUACAGAAACAAGAACAUUGUCCAAACCACAAAAAUUACCAACACAAUCCUCUCUCCCACAGCGCUGGAGUGCAGUGAUGCAAUCUUGGCUUACCACAACCUCCACCUCCAGGUUCAAGCGAUUCUCCUGCCUCAGCUUCCAGAGUAUCUGGGAUUACAGGCACCCACCAUCAUGCCCAGAUCAUUUCUGUAUUUUUAGUAGAGACGGGGAUUCACCAAGUUGCCCAGGUGCUUCCUGGUGGUCCUUGGUUGGAGGGUACUAUCAGAAAUGGAGGAGCAACAAAGAUUCAGCUGAAGCCCUCACUGCCUGGGACUGGGACCCUUGACUCGUCAUUGUAUGCACACCUGAAACUGCUUAUGUCGCUGAGGUGCCAACCUGCUGAUGGUUGGAAGCUAAUUGAGUUCUGAUAUUGUGUUGAUACCCUUAAGCAUUGGGUUUACUUUUUAUUUUAAUUAAUUAAUUAAUUAAUUUUUGAGACAGAGUUUCACUCUUGUUGCCCAGGCUGAAGUGCAAUGACACGAUCUCGGCUCACCGCAACCUCCGCCUCCUGGGUUCAAGCAGUUCUUCUGCCUCAGCCUCUUGAGUAGCUGGGAUUACAGGCAUGCACCACCACACCUGGCUAAUUUUAUAUUUGUAGUAGAGACAGUUUCUCCAUGUUU